rnacentral:rRNA from 1 species
UGUGCCUACGGGAGGCAGCAGUAGGGAAUCUUCCACAAUGGACGAAAGUCUGAUGGAGCAACGUCGCGUGAGGGAUGACGGCCCUACGGGUUGUAAACCUCUUUUGUCGGGGAGCAAGACCCGCCUCGUGCAGGCGGAGCGAGAGUACCCGAAGAAAAAGCAUCGGCUAACUCCGUGCCAGCAGCCGCGGUAAUACGGAGGAUGCGAGCGUUAUCCGGAUUUAUUGGGUUUAAAGGGUGCGCAGGCGGACCAUCAAGUCAGCGGUAAAAUCGUGGGGCCCAACCCCAUCCCGCCGUUGAAACUGG